AUUAAAUAUUUUAUUUGUAAUUUUUUUUUAAUUUUUAUUAAUAAAAAUAAUUUUAUUUUUAGUACUUUUUAUGGAAAUUAUUAUUUUUAGUUAUAGCUUAUUGUACUGUGAAGGUUCAUUUAUUUAAUUUUUAAAAGUUUACAUUUAUGUAGUACCUUUUGUAUCAGGGUUUAUUAAUUUUUAUUUAUUUAUUAAUAAUAUUCUCGAAACUAAAAGAUUUAAAAUUAAAUGAUUCUUAUUGUUUCAUAAUUAUAUUUAAUUUAAUUUUAGGGGUUAUAUGCUUUCCAAUUUUAGAUAUCUAGUUUUUUAAUAAAUAAAUUUAAUUUAUAAUUGUAUAAUGUUAAUUUAUAAUUUUAUUUAAAUUAAUUUUACAAUUUAAUAGUUUAAGGGAUUAGCUUUAAAUUAUUUUUAUAACUUUAUUUAUUUAAUUAUUUAUGUAGGCUUAAUAACAGCCAUCUUCAAUUUCGUUAUAGUUUAAUUAAUAAUUAUUUUUAUUUAUUUAUUAGUUUAAUUUUUUAUUAAAAUGAAAUUUUUAAUUUUUAUUAUUUUUCAAUAAUGAUAGAAUUAGUAGUUUUUUAUAUUUAAAUAUAAGAAUUCGGCAAUUACAAUUUCCGCCUGUUUAACAAAAACAUGUCCUAUAGAUAUUAUUUUAGGUCUAACCUGCUCAAUGAUUAUUAAUUAAAUAGCUGCAGUAUUUUAACUGUACAAAGGUAGCAUAAUCAUUUGUCUUUUAAUUGAAGGCUUGAAUGAAUGGUUGGACGAGAAAUUUUCUUUUUUUAUUUAAAUAUAUGAAUUUAAUUUUUUAGUCAAAAAGCUGAAAUUUAUUUGGGGGACGAGAAGACCCUAUAGAAUUUUAUUUUAAAAUAUAAAUUUUAUAUUUAUAUAUUAAUUAUUUUAUUUUUAUUUUAAAUUUUAAUUGGGGUGAUUUUGAAAUUUAUUUAACUUUCAUUUUUUAAUAUUCAUUAAUUUAUGUUUUUAGGAUCCUAUAUUAUGGAUUAUAAGAUUAAAUUACCUUAGGGAUAACAGCGUAAUUCUUUUGGAGAGUUCAUAUCGAUAUAAGAGUUUGCGACCUCGAUGUUGGAUUAAAAUUAGAUUUAGGUGCAGAAGCUUAAACUUCUAGGUCUGUUCGACCUUUAAAUUUUUACAUGAUCUGAGUUCAGACCGGCGUGAGCCAGGUUGGUUUCUAUCUUCAAUAUUAUUUUAUUUCUUUAGUACGAAAGGACCAAGUUUUAAUAAUAUUUAUUUAUUUUAAGAUUAAUAUU
rnacentral:rRNA from 1 species